AGUAAUGUCUGGGAAACUGCCUGAUGGAGGGGGAUAACUACUGGAAACGGUAGCUAAUACCGCAUAACGUCGCAAGACCAAAGUGGGGGACCUUCGGGCCUCAUGCCAUCAGAUGUGCCCAGAUGGGAUUAGCUAGUAGGUGGGGUAACGGCUCACCUAGGCGACGAUCCCUAGCUGGUCUGAGAGGAUGACCAGCACACUGGAACUGAGACACGGUCCAG
rnacentral:rRNA from 1 species